rnacentral:rRNA from 1 species
UACAGAGGGGGCAAGCGUUAUUCGGAAUUACUGGGCGUAAAGCGCGCGUAGGCGGCUUUGCAAGUCGGGUGUGAAAUCCCCAGGCUUAACCUGGGAACUGCAUUCGAGACUGCAUUGCUAGAGUAUGGGAGAGGGAAGUGGAAUUUCCGGUGUAGCGGUGAAAUGCGUAGAUAUCGGAAGGAACAUCAGUGGCGAAAGCGACUUCCUGGACCAAUACUGACGCUGAUGUGCGAAAGCGUGGGGAGCAAACAGG